UAGGGAAUCUUCCGCAAUGGGCGAAAGCUUGACGGAGCAACGCCGCGUGAGUGAUGAAGGUCUUCGGAUCGUAAAACUCUGUUAUUAGGGAAGAACAAAUGUGUAAGUAACUAUGCACGUCUUGACGGUACCUAAUCAGAAAGCCACGGCUAACUACGUGCCAGCAGCCGCGGUAAUACGUAGGUGGCAAGCGUUAUCCGGAAUUAUUGGGCGUAAAGCGCGCGUAGGCGGUUUUUUAAGUCUGAUGUGAAAGCCCACGGCUCAACCGUGGAGGGUCAUUGGAAACUGGAAAACUUGAGUGCAGAAGAGGAAAGUGGAAUUCCAUGUGUAGCGGUGAAAUGCGCAGAGAUAUGGAGGAACACCAGUGGCGAAGGCAACUUUCUGGUCUGUAACUGACGCUGAUGUGCGAAAGCGUGGGGAGCAAACAGG
rnacentral:rRNA from 1 species